rnacentral:ribozyme from 1 species
AACACAACAGCAACAAAGAGGGAAAAGAGGUGAAAAAGAACAAAGCACAAACGACAAAGAAGCGUGCGUUACUUAAUUUCACUUACCUUCUUUGUCUUUGUUCUUUGUGUUCUUCUCUUUCAAUUUUACACAAAGCGUGCGGUCUUUUCCUUCCCUUACCUUUGUUAAAAUUGAAAGGG